CCCGUACUGGCGGCGUGCCUAAUACAUGCAAGUAGAACGCUGAAGAGAGGAGCGUUGCUCUUCUUGGAUGAGUUGCGAACGGGUGAGUAACCGCGUAGGUAACCUGCCUUGUAGCGGGGGAUAACGAUUGGAAACGAUAGCUAAUACCGCAUACAAUGGAUGACACAUGUCAUUUAUUUGAAAGGGGCAAAUUGUUCCACUACAAGAUGGACCUGCGUUGGUAUUUAGCUAGUAGGUGAGGGUAAAUGGCUCACCUAGGCGACGAUACAUUAGCCGACCCUGAGAGGGUGAUCGGCCACACUGGGACUGAGACACGGCCCAGACUCCUACGGGAGGCAGCAGUAGGGAAUCUUCGGCAAUGGGGGGCAACCCUGACCGAGCAACGCCGCCGUGAGUGAAGAAGGUUUUCGGAUCGUAAAGCUCUGUUGUAACGUCAAGAACGGGUGUGAGAGUGGAAAGUUCACACUUGUGACGGUAGCUUACCAGAAAGGGACGGCUAACUACGUGCCAGCAGCCCGCGGUAAUACGUAGGGUCCCGAGUCGUUGUCCG
rnacentral:rRNA from 1 species